GGGGGUCUAGCUCAAAUGGCAGAGCGCUCGCUUCGCAUGCGAGAAGUACUGGGAUCGAUACCCAGGUCCUCCA
rnacentral:tRNA from 2 species